AUGCCAAUGGCACUGCCCGGUAGCUAAAUGCGGAAGAGAUAAGUGCUGAAAGCAUCUAAGCACGAAACUUGCCCCGAGAUGAGUUCUCCCUGAGACUAUAAGUCUCCUGAAGGAACGUUAAAGACGAUGACGUUGAUAGGCCGGGUGUGUAAGCGCAGCGAUGCGUUGAGCUAACCGGUACUAAUGAACCGUGAGGCUUAACCUUAC
rnacentral:rRNA from 1 species